UCAUAGGUUGGAGACCAGCGGAUGGAUCAUUACCGAGUUUUCAACUCCCUAACCCUUCUGUGAACCUACCUAUCGUUGCUUCGGCGGACUCGCCCCAGCCCGGACGCGGACUGGACCAGCGGCCCGCCGGGGACCUCAAACUCUUGUAUUCCAGCAUCUUCUGAAUACGCCGCAAGGCAAAACAAAUGAAUCAAAACUUUCAACAACGGAUCUCUUGGCUCUGGCAUCGAUGAAGAACGCAGCGAAAUGCGAUAAGUAAUGUGAAUUGCAGAAUCCAGUGAAUCAUCGAAUCUUUGAACGCACAUUGCGCCCGCCAGCAUUCUGGCGGGCAUGCCUGUUCGAGCGUCAUUUCAACCCUCGACCUCCCCUGGGGGAGGUCGGCGUUGGGGACCGGCAGCACACCGCCGGCCCUGAAAUGGAGUGGCGGCCCGUCCGCGGCGACCUCUGCGUAGUAAUACAGCUCGCACCGGAACCCCGACGCGGCCACGCCGUAAAACACCCAACUUCUGAACGUUGACCUCGAAUCAGGUAGGACUACCCGCUGAACUUAAGCAUAUCA
rnacentral:rRNA from 1 species